AGGUCCCGCCUCCCAGGGAGGGGCGCGCGCAGACCGGCCUGCCGGACCAGACCUGCUCGGGCCCAAGUCAGCGGUCGCCAGGCGGGGGCUCAAUCCCCGCGUCUGCUACACCCAGUGGCCUGUGCUGGACACGCCUGGCCCCGGCCCCGCGUCCUCUGCGAACAAAGCCUGCCUUGCUCCAGGGUCUCCAGUACCCCGGCCACCUGCAGGAGGUCAGGCGGGGCAUCUCCCCUGCAGAGGAGGGAAGCGGGGCAGCAGCCGGAAGAGCCAGGCCUCCCAGGAGGCUGUCUGGAAUCACAAUUUGACCCAAUCUGCAGCCCCACAGUGGACUAUGGGUCAGGUCCUCUGGGCAAGGUGACGAGGACAAAAGACAAGGUGGAGGCAGCCUGGAGAAGGUGAGUUUUAAGACCCCCCCCCCUCCAUGGGAGCCCCAGCCCGGAGGCCUGCAGGCCAUCACUUUUUGGUCCAGAACCGCUUGUACCGCUCCACAUCAAAGUCAUCGCCCAGCAUCGGCUCCUCCUCCUUCUUCACGCGGAGCUGGGCCUCACGUUUCCGGAACCUCGCCCGCCGCUCCUCUGGGGACAGGCUGUCCAGGUCCACAGGCAUCUGCAGGAAGGGAGCGGUGCGCCCCUGGCUAGGAGGUGGGGAGGACGGGCAAGGGGCCAGGAGACCCUCUCCCCUCCACUUCCCCAAGUUUCUUCCGCCGCUGUUGGCCUUCCUCCACCUUCUAAGCCUUUAUUCUCGAAAAGGACUUGAUUCAAUCAAAGGUGCAGCUUGCUACUGCAGAGAGGUCUGGCUGUGCAGCGUGCACCAGUCCACCCUCUUCCCAGCUGCCCUGCCCUGGCUCACCCUUAUGCUGCUGUGCUCCAAGCCCUCAGUCCCCACAGUCCCGCCCUGCACCUAGGGAGGGAGCUCACCACCAGCAUCCUUCGUGGCUCUCGGUAGCGGAUGUGGAUGGUGGAGCCAUCCUGCCUGACCAGGAGCACAGGGUAGAGGCGUGCGUAGUUCUGCCGGUGCAGGCGUGUAAGGGAGGCUCUGCUGCUGGCGGCCCGCCAGGAGGACACAUGCGGGCGGCAGCCCGUCAGCACACACUGCCGCAGCAGGCUGCAGACACACGCACAGAGGUCAGUGGCCAGUACUGGGGCCAGAGUUCCCAUGUGGCCUAGGCCAGCCAGCUCCUAUGGGGAGGGAGUGGCAACCAGGGGCAGGUCAUGGUCAGAGCUGCUCUCAUCCCAUGCCCAGGCAGAGGAGGCCGAGAAGCAGCAUACAAGGUUCCCAGGCAGCUUAGGAGACAGGACAGCAGCCGGGAUGCAGCAGGCCCAGCACGGCUGGCUCUGAUGAGGCACGGCUGCCCAGUGCAGGUGCUGGGCUCAGUGUGGGACCAGAAGCUGACUUCCAGGGACGUACCCGUCGUUACGACUUCCACAUCUGUCCCGACCCAAAUGUGGGGAUACCAGAAGAUAGAAACACACACAGGAAGCUGCUCUGAGGUAGCACGGUCUAAGGCUACAGGUUGGCA